GACGAACGCUGGCGGCGUGCUUAACACAUGCAAGUAGAACGCAGAUGCGAACGGGUGAGUAACGUGUAGGUAAGUGACCCAUAGCGGGGGUUAACUUUAGGAAACGAAAGGUAAUAUCGCAUAAAGGGAGAUGGACCUGCGUUGUAUUAGCUAGUUGGUGUGGUAAAGGCUCACCAAGGCGACGAUACAUAGCCGACCUGAGAGGGUGAUGGGCCACACUGGGACUGAGAGACGGCCCAGACUCCUACGGGGGGCAGCAGUGGGGAAACUUCGGGAAUGGGCGGAAGUCUGGACGGGCUACUCCGCGUGAGUGAAGAAGGGUUUCGGGUCGUAAAGCUCUUUUGUUUGAGAAGCGGUAACUAACCAGAAAGGGACGGCUAACUACGUGCCAGCAGCCGCGGUAAUAC
rnacentral:rRNA from 1 species